AGACAAUAGAUACCCUGGUAGUCCACGCCCUAAACGAUGCAUAUUUGGUGUGGGUCAUUCAGUUGAUCCGUGCCGGAGCUAACGCGUUAAAUAUGCCGCCUGGGGAGUACAGUCGCAAGGCUGAAACUCAAAGGAAUUGACGGGGGCCCGCACAAGCGGUGGAGCAUGUGGUUCAAUUCGACGCAACGCGAAGAACCUUACCUGGGCUCGAACGGCUGGUCAACGGCGGUGGAAACAUCGCUACUCCGCAAGGAGGCCCAGUCGAGGUGCUGCAUGGCUGUCGUCAGCUCGUGUCGUGAGAUGUUGGGUUUAAGUCCCGCAACGAGCGCAACCCUCGUCCUGUGUUGCCAUGGGAGCAAUCCCGGAACUCGCAGGAGACCGCCAGCGAUAAGUUGGAGGAAGGUGGGGAUGACGUCAAGUCCUCAUGGCCUUUAUGUCCAGGGCUACACACGUGCUACAAUGGCCGGUACAAAGCGCUGCUAACCCGCGAGGGGGAGCCAAUCGCAAAAAACCGGUCUCAGUUCGGAUU
rnacentral:rRNA from 1 species